UACGUAGGGCGCAAGCGUUGUCCGGAAUUAUUGGGCGUAAAGAGCUCGUAGGCGGCUUGUCACGUCUGCUGUGAAAUCCCGGGGCUCAACCCCGGGCGUGCAGUGGAUACGGGCUGGCUAGAGGCAGGCAGGGGAGAACGGAAUUCCCGGUGUAGCGGUGAAAUGCGCAGAUAUCAGGAGGAACACCGAUGGCGAAGGCAGGUCACUGGGCCGCAACUGACGCUGAGGAGCGAAAGCAUGGGGAGCGAACAGG
rnacentral:rRNA from 1 species